UUCGCGGUAUUAUUCCUGUGAAUGUUUUCCAUUUACAAUCACAGGAUAAUACUGCGAG
rfam:Papilio machaon contig8191, whole genome shotgun sequence.